GACGAACGCUGGCGGCGUGCUUAACACAUGCAAGUCGAACGGUGACGAAGAGCUUGCUCUUCUGAUCAGUGGCGAACGGGUGAGUAACACGUGAGCAGCCUACCCUUGACUCUGGGAUAACAGUUGGAAACAGCUGCUAAUACCGGAUACGACCCCGGCAGGCAUCUGCUGGGGUGGAAAGCUCCGAGGGUCAAGGAUGGGCUCGCGGCCUAUCAGCUUGUUGGUGAGGUAAUGGCUCACCAAGGCGACGACGGGUAGCCGGCCUGAGAGGGCGACCGGCCACACUGGGACUGAGAUACGGCCCAGACUCCUACGGGAGGCAGCAGUGGGGAAUAUUGCACAAUGGGCGAAAGCCUGAUGCAGCAACGCCGCGUGCGGGAUGACGGCCUUCGGGUUGUAAACCGCUUUCAGCAGGGACGAAGUGAAAAUGACGGUACCUGCAGAAGAAGCACCGGCUAACUACGUGCCAGCAGCCGCCGCCGUAA
rnacentral:rRNA from 1 species